GGGGCCUUGGGGCUGGGCAGGGGGCAAUGGGGAGUCACGUGAGGUGCCUCUGGGGGCUUCUCCAGGCAGUGGGGCCCCCAGACAACUGUCUCCCCUCGCCCGAUCGUUGUUACGCGCCUGAGCUCUUCCUCCAAGGAGCCCAGAGUGGUGUACAUAGUUAUGUGCAUAUGCCUCACACAACAGCCCUGUGGGUUAAGUUAGGCUAAGAGAUGUGAUAAGAGGAAUAGGAGUAUUCAACCAAGGGAAGUUGAAGUUGAAGAGGAGGAGUCUUCAAUCAAUGGAAGACAAGUCUGAAAUCAAUAGAGGGGGAGUGGAGGCAGCAGCCACACAUUUCCUCCCAGCACAGAAGCAAG